UGCUUGCACUACUGUAAGUCGCUCUGGAUAAGAGCGUCUGCUAAAUGACUGAAA
rfam:Salmo salar isolate Sally breed double haploid chromosome ssa01, whole genome shotgun sequence.